GUGGGUAUAGUUCAGUGGUAGAGUACAUGCUUAGCAUGCAUGAGGCCCUGGGUUCAAUCCCCAACACCGCCA
rnacentral:tRNA from 1 species